rnacentral:sRNA from 1 species
GUUUAUCUGCCGAGUUUGCCUUUCGGCAAACGUCGCAUUAUUGUAUGCAGUUUGUAAACAAACUGCGUGAAAAAACUUUUUUCGCAAAUUGAUAUUUGCUGCAAAAAGUUUUUAUGGG